GACGAACGCUGGCGGCGUGCCUAAUACAUGCAAGUCGAGCGCUGAAGGCUGGUACUUGUACCAACUGGGUGAGCAGCGAACGGGAGAGUAACGCGUGGGGAAUCUGCCUUUGAGCGGGGGACAACAUUUGGAAACGAAUGCUAAUACCGCAUAAAAGCUUUAUACACAAGGUUGAAGUGUGAAAGAUGCAAUUGCAUCACUCAAAGAUGAUCCCGCGUUGUAUUAGCUAGUUGGUGAGGUAAAGGCUCACCAAGGCGAGGAUACAUAGCCGACCUGAGAGGGUGGUCGGCCACCUUGGGGCGGGGACGGGCCCCAAACUCCUGCGGGAGGCCGCAGUAGGGAAUCUGCGGCAGUGGUCGGGAGUCUUACCGAGCAAGGGCGCGUCAGUGAAGAAGGUUUUCGGAUCGUGAAGCUCGGUUGGUAGAGGAGAACGGUGGUGAGAGUGGAAAGAGCAUCAAGUGACGGUAACUGCCCAGGAAGGGACGGCUAACUACGUG
rnacentral:rRNA from 1 species